GACAGAGGGGGCAAGCGUUGCUCGGAAUUACUGGGCGUAAAGGGCGCGUAGGCGGAAUGGCAAGUCGGUCGUGAAAUUCUUCGGCUCAACCGAAGAACGUCGAUCGAAACUGCCGUUCUUGAGGAUUGCAGAGGAGACUGGAAUUCCCGGUGUAGCGGUGAAAUGUGUAGAGAUCGGGAGGAACACCGGUGGCGAAGGCGGGUCUCUGGACAGUUCCUGACGCUGAGGCACGAAGGCCAGGGGAGCAAACGGG
rnacentral:rRNA from 1 species